rnacentral:rRNA from 1 species
GUCCACGCCGUAAACGUUGGGCACUAGGUGUGGGACUCUAUCGACGGGUUCCGUGCCGUAGCUAACGCAUUAAGUGCCCCGCCUGGGGAGUACGGCCGCAAGGCUAAAACUCAAAGGAAUUGACGGGGGCCCGCACAAGCGGCGGAGCGUGUGGCUUAAUUCGAUGCAACGCGAAGAACCUUACCUGGGCUUGACAUGUACGGUAAAGCGGGUGAAAGCCCGUGUGCUUCGGCGCCGUACACAGGUGGUGCAUGGCUGUCGU